UUGCUCGCACUUUCCAUAUGGAGCUGAGAGCGUUUGCCGGUUGGACGACCGAAGACCGUGAAGUUGGAGGAUUGGGACGAGAAAGAGGACCCACUAUGGCUCCCCACUUGGGCUUACAAGUGGGAUGUGUUAAAUGAGAUGACGGAUGAUCCCUCGAUCAUGUACAAGCUGUACAGGAGCGAGAUGGACGCGAUCACGCCUGAGCAGGUGAAUUGA
rnacentral:rRNA from 1 species